rnacentral:lncRNA from 1 species
CAUAGCAAAUAUUCACAAUUAUUUGAUUAAAUCUUUCAAAAUAACAUUAUAAGAUCUCAUUGGAAUCAAAAAAACUGAAAUAAGUCUAUGCGAAAGCGUGCCAGUAGGAGGUCAUGCAUAUCCAUCAGCAAGCAAGCGUAUCAUGUGUCGGCACGAAAGCGUGCCGAUGCCGUACCGUGCCAGGCAGACAGCGGCAGACCCCCAUGCCACGGCACUUUAAACCUUGACACAACUAUUCUGAUGCAAGCAUCUCAAAACAGGGUAACCAAAUCAUUCAUGGAUUAUAGUUUGAUUAGUCAAGUCAUGGAUGGUAGGUACAUUCAGUCUUUACACAACAACUUAUUUGCAAUUUUAAAGUAUAUUUUCAAUUGAUUCUUUAUAUUAUAGAGGACUCAUUAAAAUGCAUGCAUUAAAUCAUUUUGGCACACUAUCCCUGACUGAGAUAUAGAGAGGACUCAUUAAAAUGCAUAUAUUAUAGAGGACUCAUUAAAAUGCAUGUGUUAAAUCAUUUGGCACACUAUCCUUAUUUUGUGCUUCGAUAUAUGAGAAAAUGUUUCAUGCUAACUAAUUAGCGAAUUGUUUUGCUUAAAAUAUUUUUUGUAGUUAAACUACGCCAACAAAGCAAGCUGAACAAAUAAUAUCAAAGAACAAAGGAAGGAUGCGCCUUUAUAUAUAACCAUGAAUGUGGAAAAAAAAAGAACAACACAUGAUAGCAUAUCAACUUUAUGUCAACUCCGUCACCAAAUUUAACUUAUUACCACUUUAUUACUAUUAUUAUUCAUU